GUCGAGUAACUCCCAACCCAAUGUGAACGUUACCAAACUGUUGCCUCGGCGGGAUCUCUGCCCCGGGUGCGUCGCAGCCCCGGACCAAGGCGCCCGCCGGAGGACCAACCAAAACUCUUAUUGUAUACCCCCUCGCGGGUUUUUUUAUAAUCUGAGCCUUCUCGGCGCCUCUCGUAGGCGUUUCGAAAAUGAAUCAAAACUUUCAACAACGGAUCUCUUGGUUCUGGCAUCGAUGAAGAACGCAGCGAAAUGCGAUAAGUAAUGUGAAUUGCAGAAUUCAGUGAAUCAUCGAAUCUUUGAACGCACAUUGCGCCCGCCAGUAUUCUGGCGGGCAUGCCUGUCCGAGCGUCAUUUCAACCCUCGAACCCCUCCGGGGGGUCGGCGUUGGGGAUCGGCCCUGCCUUGGCGGUGGCCGUCUCCGAAAUACAGUGGCGGUCUCGCCGCAGCCUCUCCUGCGCAGUAGUUUGCACACUCGCAUCGGGAGCGCGGCGCGUCCACAGCCGUUAAACACCCAACUUCUGAAAUGUUGACCUCGGAUCAGGUAGGAAUACCCGCUGAACUUAAGCAUAUCUA
rnacentral:rRNA from 1 species